rnacentral:rRNA from 1 species
UACGUAGGGUGCAAGCGUUGUCCGGAAUUAUUGGGCGUAAAGAGCUCGUAGGCGGUCUGUCGCGUCGGCUGUGAAAACCCGGGGCUCAACCCCGGGCCUGCAGUCGAUACGGGCAGACUAGAGUGCGGUAGGGGAGACUGGAAUUCCUGGUGUAGCGGUGAAAUGCGCAGAUAUCAGGAGGAACACCGGUGGCGAAGGCGGUUCUCUGGGCCUGUACUGACGCUGAGGCGCGACAGCGUGGGGAGCAAACAGG